rnacentral:lncRNA from 1 species
UGACUGGAGAGGGAGGGGCAGGGACGAAAUGGAGACUGAGCCCAGACAAUGCUUUGACGUGGAGCAGGGAAAUGGGCUGUUGGUUGAAGAAGGUUAUGGGGUCCAAAUAAGUUUCCCUCACUUUUCUUUUAAAGGUCCAAGAUAAGAGAGCUCAUGAGUGUAUACGCUGAGGCAUGUGAUCCUGUGCUUCAUACAAGGUCACACGAAGGCUCGGAGGACAAGGAACUGCAGUGCCAGCAGGGAGGAAGUCCUGUGAAAUCUGGAUCUCCUGCUGAGCCACUAGGGGACAUUGGUCUGUGGACAGAGCCAUUUGAACAUGCUGCAGUGCGACUGUACAUGUCCUCCUCGAGUACAUAUUUGAAUGAAUGACAUCACCUCUGGAGGCCUAACUGGAGAAGACAGUUUGCUUCUUUUAGUAAAGGAAGAAUUGGGAAGACAUCUCUUUGGCCACUGAAGCAUUCAAAGAAAAGCUAUUUCUUAAAUGAGAUUUUUAACUUGUGAACAUUUGGAAAUACUCCUCUCUCUCAGAAGGCUUAAGAGUAAUCAGUUAUCAAGAGAUUUCAGGAAACCUGUAAUUGGCAUUUUAUCCUAUUCGGACUCAAAGCAGACCUUUGGAGGCAGAGAGCAAAGAAGAAGGGUAAGCUGGCCUUGAAACAGUUUGCCAGCACUUCCUCCUGACCUAUUAAUGGUGGGA